ensembl:lncRNA
GGGCGCCCACACAAACGCAAAGCAGGAGAUGAAGCAUCGCUGAAUAUGUUUCCAAACCAACUUCCUUCCAAGCCAAAGACUAGAAAAUAUGGUGAAGCAUAUCUUCCCUUUGGCUUCACCUGCACAAGUGCUGAGAUUCUGAAGGACCAGCUACUGUUUUCAUGAACUGUGUUUUACACACACAAAGGUUUGCAGUCAGUUCCAAACUUUAGAAAAAUCCAGAGCUGCCACGGCCACUCUGGCCUCAGAAAACCCUCCCUUCUCCAUCUCAUCACCUACAAACAGUGAACAAAGGCAAGCUUAGGACGCAUUUCAUCAAACUGGUGAUCAAGCUGGGCCUCUACAGAAGCAGCUGUGUUGCUCAGCACGAUAUCUGGACUAUAGCCAGGUCUCC